rnacentral:rRNA from 1 species
AGUGGCGAACGGGUGAGUAAUAUAUCGGAACGUGCCCAGUAGUGGGGGAUAGCCCGGCGAAAGCCGGAUUAAUACCGCAUACGACCUAAGGGUGAAAGCGGGGGAUCGCAAGACCUCGCGCUAUUGGAGCGGCCGAUAUCAGAUUAGGUAGUUGGUGGGGUAAAAGCCUACCAAGCCUGCGAUCUGUAGCUGGUCUGAGAGGACGACCAGCCACACUGGGACUGAGACACGGCCCAGACUCCUACGGGAGGCAGCAGUGGGGAAUUUUGGACAAUGGGCGCAAGCCUGAUCCAGCCAUGCCGCGUGCGGGAAGAAGGCCUUCGGGUUGUAAACCGCUUUUGUCAGGGAAGAAACGCUCUGGGUUAAUACCUCGGGGUAAUGACGGUACCUGAAGAAUAAGCACCGGCUAACUACGUGCCAGCAGCCGCGGUAAUACGUAGGGUGCAAGCGUUAAUCGGAAUUACUGGGCGUAAAGCGUGCGCAGGCGGUCUUGCAAGAACAGAUGUGAAAUCCCCGGGCUCAACCUGGGAACUGCAUUUGUGACUGCAAGGCUAGAGUACGGUAGAAGGGGGAUGGAAUUCCGCGUGGUAGCAGUGAAAUGCGUAGAUUAUGCGGAGGAACACCGAAUGGCGAAGGCAAUCCCCCUGGACCUGUACUGACGCUCAUGCACGAAAGCGUGGGGAGCAAACAGGAUUAGAUACCCCUGGUAGUCCACGCCCUAAACGAUGUCAACUGGUUGUUUGGGGAAGGUUCCUUCUUCAGUAACGUAGCCUAACGGCGUGAAGUUGACCGCCCUGGGGAGUACGGCCCGCAGGUUGAAACUCAAAGGGAAUUGACGGGACCCGCACAAGCGGUGGGAUGGAUGUGGUUUAUCGAACGCAACGCGAAAACCUUACCUACCCUUUGACAU